rnacentral:lncRNA from 1 species
UUGGGAAACGAUACUUGGACUUACCCAUUUUAUAUUACUUGAUAACGAUCUGGUACACUUGUCAAGGACUUAAUAGUAGGUGCAGGACUUAGGUUCACCCCUCAGCAUUGUCGCUUAAGCGUUGGCCAAAGAAUCCCUUGAAGAGUCCACCGCCCGUCGGUGAGGUCGAUACUCCACUUCACCCCUUAGCGAUGCCGCUUAAGCGUCUGACAAAGAGUUCUUUAGAGAGUACACCACCCAGCGAUAGUCUCAC